AGGAGCGGAGACUCGUGUGUGUGUUCGUCGACGCAUCGUUCCGUCACACUCCCAUCACCAUUUUACAGCCACGUCACAACCUCCUCGCCGCGGGACGUGCAGCAUGGCUGCUCAGACCUCCGCAUUCGUGCUGCGGUGCACGCGGCCCCUGCUGGCGUACAAUAAGUCUAGCGGCUACCGCUGGAGCCCCAUCCCAAAGCCACCUCCCCCUCACUACGAUCGCCUCUACGGUGUCCACUCGGUGCUGAACACGCUGCGUGUGGCGGCGCAGCGGCAGCAGCAACAGCAGAAGACCGAUCCGCUCCAAGAAACGGCAGACACACCAGGCUCGGCCUCUGCAGCUACAGCUGCAGCUUCCACUGCUCUCCAUGACGCUCAUCAGUCGUCAACGGCCGCAAUGCCUGUGUCGCUGCUUCACCCGCAUCGCGCGCAUCUCGCGUGCCUGUACGUUCGCGAUUUCAGCCUCGAGGAGGGUGGAGAGGGCGUAGAGGAGCUGGGCGGCUCCAACGCCGACGAUGCCGUUGCCUAUGAUGCGGUGAACAGCACCGAUCCUGGGUCCCGACCGGACAAGCACAGCCACUGCCCAGGGCGAGGGCGGCACAUUCGCAGGAAGAAGGUCAUUCCUUCUCGCUACACGGCGGUGCGCUGCAUCACUGCCCUGGCCAAAUCGUUGAAUGUCCCUGUGCGGUUCGUGCCACGCGCGGAGCUGGUGCAGCUCUGCGGGGAGCGACGGAACCAGAACAUCGUUCUCGAGGCGUCGUCGUAUAAGCCGCAGCGGAUACGACACCUCGGCGAGAUAUGGGGAGCGGAGGGCGCGGCGGCAAAGACCACAGCUGCCGCCUCCGCUGGCCUCGUCACGGUGCUCUUCCUCGAGCGCAUCGUCGACCCCGCCAACAUCGGGGGCAUCCUUCGCACCGCAUUUUUCUUCGGGGUCGAUCAUGUGAUUCUGAGCCGCCAGUGCGCGAGCUGCACGGCAGCCGUCUCGCGCACAAGCACGGGCUUUCUGGAGCACCUGCGCGUGUAUCAGGCCUCCACAUCCUCCGCCGCCUUCCUGCGGGCCUCGCGGCAGGUCUGGGCAUCGGCGGUGCCGUCGUUGUCGUCGUCCAUCACCGGUGCCAGCGGGCUGGAAGUGAUUGCGAGUAUGGUGGUGUCGCGCACGAGGGCGCAGCGACGUGACCGGAACGAGAGCGCUCCGGCGUUGCAGUUUCCCGCUUCCGACGAGUCGGCGCCGUCCGAGGUGAGCGUCGAGAGCGGCAGCGACCACGUGCGCUUGUUUGCCCAGCAGCCGAAUUCGUGUCUCCCUGCUGUGCGCGUGCUGCUGCUCGGUAACGAGGACGCCGGCUUGCCGCCAGAUCUCCUGCAGUGGUGCACACAUGUGGCGCACAUCCGCUCUCCACGGCAGGCGCGUCUGCGCCACACGCGCACCAACAUGCAAGGAGCGUCGCACGAGGAAGAACCAGAGACGUGCGCUGUCGACGCCGCGGUGGGCGGGACGGACGUGCAGCUCUCCUCCAACCCCCUUGACAGCACCGCCGUCGCAUCCGCGGCUUCAGCGGAGGCGUUCGAUAAGCACCAGCACAACCUGCGCCGCCUGGCACGUCUCCGCGACAAAGAGGUGUCGCUGAACGUCAACACCGCCGCGGCAGCGCUGCUGGCCGCCUUGGGCGGGGUGGAGGGGCGGCUGGGAAACGGCGGCGGUCAGCUGGGGUUGGUCGAUGUGCAGCCGCUGUGUUCGCCCUGAACCCCAUCCCUCACCCCCGCCUCUUUGGCUCGCCUAUCCCUCCUCACCGGCCUUCACAGUAACGCCCCGUGUAACUCCGCUCUAAGAGGUACGCAUGAGCACAAGCCUCAAUGCGAAAAGUUAAUAGCAUCCGCAGAGGUGGAUGAGGCCCCCCUCCUCCCCCACAGACCCACACGAACAGACACAUACGACCAUGGACUCGAUGAGUAGCGGUGCUCAUGAGGGAGGGGGAACAGGGGGCCUCUUGCGCCUCCUUCACCGUUGGAGAGGACUGGACCUUGCCCGCGGUGCGUCCAGCUUUUCUCUUGUGAAGCGCUGCUCCCUCGUGCUCCCUGGCCAGCGCGCAAGUACGUUCUUGAUGGUUACCACGACCAAGACACAUGAUGCGCGUCGCCCACCCCAUAUCAAGAGGCGUCUCUCUCUCGGUGCGUGCUUUUCAGUGCUCCGCUGCUCAACUCCGUCUCUCUCGCUCUCUGUCUUUCGUGCCGUCUCUCGCGGCUUGUAG
rnacentral:misc_RNA from 1 species